AGUCUGAUGGAGCACGCCGCGUGAGUGAAGAAGGUUUUCGGAUCGUAAAGCUCUGUUGUUGGUGAAGAAGGAUAGAGGUAGUAACUGGCCUUUAUUUGACGGUAAUCAACCAGAAAGUCACGGCUAACUACGUGCCAGCAGCCGCGGUAAUACGUAGGUGGCAAGCGUUGUCCGGAUUUAUUGGGCGUAAAGCGAGCGCAGGCGGAAGAAUAAGUCUGAUGUGAAAGCCCUCGGCUUAACCGAGGAACUGCAUCGGAAACUGUUUUUCUUGAGUGCAGAAGAGGAGAGUGGAACUCCAUGUGUAGCGGUGGAAUGCGUAGAUAUAUGGAAGAACACCAGUGGCGAAGGCGGCUCUCUGGUCUGCAACUGACGCUGAGGCUCGAAAGCAUGGGUAGCGAACAGGAUUAGAUACC
rnacentral:rRNA from 1 species